rnacentral:tRNA from 1 species
GGCUCAGUGGUCUAGUCGUAUGAUUCUCGCUUCGGGUUUCCUUCUCUCACGAACACGUGAAAAUUUGCGAGAGGCCCCGGGUUCAAUUCCCGGCUGAGCCC